ACGGGUGUAGCUCAGUUGGUAGAGUACUGGUCUCCAAAACCAUUGGUCGUGGGUUCGAAUCCUACCACCCGUG
rnacentral:tRNA from 1 species